rnacentral:rRNA from 1 species
GGGGAAUAUUGCACAAUGGGCGCAAGCCUGAUGCAGCCAUGCCGCGUGUGUGAAGAAGGCCUUCGGGUUGUAAAGCACUUUCAGCGGGGAGGAAGGCGGUGAGGUUAAUAACCUUGUCGAUUGACGUUACUCGCAGAGGAAGCACCGGCUAACUCCGUGCCAGCAGCCGCGGUAAUACGGAGGGUGCAAGCGUUAAUCGGAAUUACUGGGCGUAAAGCGCACGCAGGCGGUCUGUCAAGUCGGAUGUGAAAUCCCCGGGCUCAACCUGGGAACUGCAUUCGAAACUGGCAGGCUAGAGUCUUGUAGAGGGGGGUAGAAUUCCAGGUGUAGCGGUGAAAUGUGUAGAGAUCUGGAGGAAUACCGGUGGCGAAGGCGGCCCCCUGGACAAAGACUGACGCUCAGGUGCGAAAGCGUGGGGAGCAAAC